UCCUACGGGGGGCAGCAGUAGGGAAUCUUCCACAAUGGACGAAAGUCUGAUGGAGCAACGCCGCGUGAGUGAAGAAGGGUUUCGGCUCGUAAAGCUCUUUUGGUAGUGAAGAAAGAUAGAGGUGGUAACUGGCCUUUAUUUUACGGUAAUUACUUAGAAAGUCACGGCUAACUACGUGCCAGCAGCCGCGGUAAUACGUAGGUGGCAAGCGGUGUCCGGGUUUAUUGGGCGUAAAGCGAGUGCAGGCGGCUCAAUAAGUCUGAUGUGAAAAGCUUCGGCGCAACCGGAGAAUU
rnacentral:rRNA from 1 species